UACGUAGGGAGCAAGCGUUGUCCGGAAUCAUUGGGCGUAAAGCGCGCGUAGGCGGCCCCGUAAGUCCGCUGUGAAAGUCAAAGGCUCAACCUCGUGGAAGCUGGUAAUACUGUCAGGCUCGAGUGCAGGAGAGGUUAACGGAACUCCAUGUGGAGCGGUAAAAUGUGUAGAUAUAUGGAAGAACACCAAUAACGGCGAAGGCAGUUAACUAUUCUGUUACUGACAUUGAGGCACGAAAGCGUGGGGAGCAAAACGG
rnacentral:rRNA from 1 species